rnacentral:rRNA from 1 species
AUUGAACGCUGGCGGCAGGCCUAACACAUGCAAGUCGAGCGGAUGAAGGGAGCUUGCUCCUGGAUUCAGCGGCGGACGGGUGAGUAAUGCCUAGGAAUCUGCCUGGUAGUGGGGGAUAACGUCCGGAAACGGGCGCUAAUACCGCAUACGUCCUGAGGGAGAAAGUGGGGGAUCUUCGGACCUCACGCUAUCAGAUGAGCCUAGGUCGGAUUAGCUAGUUGGUGGGGUAAAGGCCUACCAAGGCGACGAUCCGUAACUGGUCUGAGAGGAUGAUCAGUCACACUGGAACUGAGACACGGUCCAGACUCCUACGGGAGGCAGCAGUGGGGAAUAUUGGACAAAGGGCGAAAGCCUGAUCCAGCCAUGCCGCGUGUGUGAAGAAGGUCUUCGGAUUGUAAAGCACUUUAAGUUGGGAGGAAGGGCAGUAAGUUAAUACCUUGCUGUUUCGACGUUACCAACAGAAUAAGCACCGGCUAACUUCGUG